GGCCUACCAAGGCGAUUACGGGUAGCCGGCCUGAGAGGGCGACCGGCCACACUGGGACUGAGACACGGCCCAGACUCCUGCGGGAGGCAGCAGUGGGGAAUAUUGCGCAAUGGGCGAAAGCCUGACGCAGCGACGCCGCGUGGGGGAUGACGGCCUUCGGGUUGUAAACCUCUUUUACCACUCACGCAGGCCCCACGUUUUCGUGGGGUUGACGGUAGGUGGGGAAUAAGGACCGGCUAACUACGUGCCAGCAGCCGCGGUAAUACGUAGGGUCCGAGCGUUGUCCGGAAUUAUUGGGCGUAAAGAGCUCGUAGGCGGCGUGUCGCGUCUGCUGUGAAAGACCGGGGCUUAACCCCGGUUCUGCAGUGGAUACGGGCAUGCUAGAGGUAGGUAGGGGAGACUGGAAUUCCUGGUGUAGCGGUGAAAUGCGCAGAUAUCAGGAGGAACACCGGUGGCGAAGGCGGGUCUCUGGGCCUUACCUGACGCUGAGGAGCGAAAGCAUGGGGAGCGAACAGGAUUAGAUACCCUGGUAGUCCAUGCCGUAAACGUUGGGCGCUAGGUGUGGGGACUUUCCACGGUUUCCGCGCCGUAGCUAACGCAUUAAGCGCCCCGCCUGGGGAGUACGGCCGCAAGGCUAAAACUCAAAGGAAUUGACGGGGGGCCCGCACAAGCGGCGGAGCAUGUUGCUUAAUUCGACGCAACGCGAAGAACCUUACCAAGGUUUGACAUCACCCGUGGACCUGUAGAGAUACAGGUCAUUUUGGUUGG
rnacentral:rRNA from 1 species